rnacentral:rRNA from 1 species
CCUACGGGGGGCUGCAGUGAGGAAUAUUGGUCAAUGGCCGGAAGGCUGAACCAGCCAUGCCGCGUGAAGGUCAGUGCCCUAUGGGCGUUAAACUUCUUUUGUGCGGGAGCAAUAAUGGUCACGUGUGGCCAGACGAGAGUACCGUACGAAUAAGCAUCGGCUAACUCCGUGCCAGCAGCCGCGGUAAGACGGGGGAUGCAAGCGUUAUCCGGAUUUAUUGGGUUUAAGGGGUGCGUAGGCUGUGAGGUAAGUCAGCGGUGAAAUGCCCCCGCUCAACGGGGUGAAGUGCCAUUGAUACUGCCUGGCUGGAAUGCGGAUGCGGUGGGAGGAAUGUGUGGUGUAGCGGUGAAAUGCAUAGAUAUCACACAGAACACCGAUUGCGAAGGCAUCUCACGAAUCCGCGAUUGACGCUGAUGCACGAAAGCGUGGGUAUCAAACAGGAUUAGAUACCCUGGUAGUC